UACGUAGGGGGCAAGCGUUGUCCGGAUUUAUUGGGCGUAAAGAGCGUGUAGGCGGCCAGGUAGGUCAGCUGUGAAAACUCGAGGCUCAACCUCGAGAUGUCGGCUGAAACCAUCUGGCUAGAGUCCGGAAGAGGAGAAUGGAAUUCCCGGUGUAGCGGUGAAAUGCGCAGAUAUCGGGAAGAACACCCGUGGCGAAGGCGGCCUGCUGGGCUGUUGCUGACGCUGAGGCGCGACAGCGUGGGGAGCAAACAGG
rnacentral:rRNA from 1 species